rfam:Dipodomys ordii contig_60453, whole genome shotgun sequence.
GGUGGCUCAGUGGUAGAGUGCUUGCCUUGCAUGCAUGAGACCCUGGGUUCAAUUCCUCAGCACCA